GGAAAAUCCUUAAGAUUUUUGCAGCGAAAAGCUAGCUUCUUAUCCAUUUCAACAAUGUUAAUCCCUGAAAAAUACAUGUUAAACUAGCUUAAUGUUGAGAUGCCAUCCUGUUAAAUACACAGAUAAAACGGAUCACAGUCUAGUCUGUUUAUAUUUAAACAUGCCAUUGUCAAAAUUUAUAAUGAAAGAAGCAUCAGAAGACCUUGGAAACAAGGAUUAUAUAACCACUCAUUGUCAGGAGCAAACCUAAAACAUAGGAAACAAGGAUCAACAAUGCUCACCUUUGUUGGGAAUCCUAUUUAUUUUCUGUUUGCCUUCUACCUCUUGAGUCCUCCGGCCCUCGCCUUCACCAAUCU
rnacentral:misc_RNA from 1 species